rnacentral:rRNA from 1 species
AUUGAACGCUGGCGGCAGGCCUAACACAUGCAAGUCGAGCGGCGGCGGACGGGUGAGUAAGGCAUAGGAAUCUGCGUGGGAGUGGGGGAUAACGUCCGGAAACGGGCGCUAAUACCGCAUACUAUCAGAUGAGCCUAGGGGGGAUUAGCGAGUUGGGGGGGUAAAGGCCUACCAAGGCGACGAUCCGUAACUGGUCUGAGAGGAUGAUCAGGCACACUGGAACUGAGACACGGUCCAGACGCCUACGGGAGGCAGCAGUGGGGAAUAUUGGACAAUGGGGGCAAGCCUGAUCCAGCCAUGCCGCGUGUGUGAAGAAGGUCUUCGGAUUGUAAAGCACUUUAAGUUGGGAGGCGUUACCAACAGAAUAAGCACCGGCUAACUUCGUGCCAGCAGCCGCGGUAAUUC